GGAGACGGUGAUGCUUUUAGUUCUACACACGAGAUUUCUGUCCGAGCGCUUGCGCACUGCGGACAACAAACCCUUCUGAGUCUCC
rnacentral:snoRNA from 1 species